UGAGUACCCGCUGCGCCCGAGAGAG
rnacentral:miRNA from 1 species